GGUCGUAGAUUACAGACUCUCCUCUGGGAAAUUGCCCCCAGAUCUAACAGGAGUACAAGAAGCUGGGUAGAUUGGAAAACAGCACCGAAUUCCCCUGGAACUGAGGACGGAAGCCUUCCCAGUCCUGCAGCCACCUGCAGACUCUCACAAGCACGGUGCUCCCGGGAGAAGACCUUGCUACCCCAGGCCCAAGGCAGUCGAGAGAAAACGGGAAGCCCUGAAGGUUUUUCACCCCGGGGGUGAGAGUGUAUGAUCGAAGAUAUAUUUGAGGGUAAUUGUACAGAUAGUCCCAACUUAGCAUUGUUCAACUUUAUGAUGGUAUGAAAGUGAUGACAUUCAGUAGAAAUUGUACUUCAAGUGCCAAUACAAUCAGUUUUUCACUUUUGGUGCAGUAUUCAAU
rnacentral:lncRNA from 10 species